GGUUUAAUUCGAAGCAACGCGCAGAACCUUACCAACCCUUGACAUCCCCGGACCGCUGGAGAGAUUCAGCUUCCCCGUAAGGGGCCGGGUGACAGGUGCUGCAUGGCUGUCGUCAGCUCGUGUCGUGAGAUGUUCGGUUAAGUCCGGCAACGAGCGCAACCCACACCCCUGGUUGCCAUCAUUUGGUUGGGCACUCUAGGGGAACUGCCCGUGAUAAGCGGGA
rnacentral:rRNA from 1 species